GAAUUUUUAUUAAAAUUUUGUUGCAACAAAAAAUAAGUUAAAACCAAAUUUAAAGAAAUAAAGAAAAAGGUUAGGGGAUAUUUUUGUAAUUAAGCUGUUUGUUUUUUUUUUUCGGUUCUGAUUCUGGUGUUUUUGCUGAACAAUUUAACUUAAUCUACAGUCUGUGGGUUUCUUUUGCAGGAGAUUCGGCGGGUUGAUCGUUUCACGGGGAUAUCAUCAUCGGCGUGAUCUUCGCCGCCUGUGACACCACCGCCAGUGUUUUAACUAGGAUUCUAAAGAAUUUGGGGGGGAAAACCCAAUUGUUCUGCAAGCCGUGACUGAAGAACAAGAAGGCAUGAAGAAGAGUAAAGAUAAAGAUGGUGAAGAGAAAGACAGGUUGCAGAAACACUUGGGUUUUCCCUCAGAUACUUGACAAUUCAAGUUGAAACACUUGCGGUGGUGUCACCAGCGGCGAAGAUAACGCCGAUUACGUUACCGACGUCGGUUAGUCCUUCUUUUAUCCCCCAUGAAAGAUCCAAACAAGUCAUUAUGAUCAAGCUUCAUUUGAUGCCUGGUAGAGAGGAUUUGGGUCAAAAUCUGAGCAACCUCUUUUCUUUCUUUCUUUUUUUCUUUAGCUUGAUUAAAUUUCGUCUUCACCAACCAUUUUCUAGCCAUUCACCACCAUCACAAUCAAGAUCUUUUUAUUCAUGACUCCGUCUUUCAACCUUUCUGCUACCUGGGAGUCUCAAAAUGAAUAAGAACUACCGUUGUACAAAAGUAUGAUGACCUGUUUUCCUUCCAUCAAACCCCUGAUCUUUGCAGUCCCCCCCAGCUAAUACUCAUCAAUGCCUAAACGUAUAAUGUGGCUGUGCCUUCAGGCUCUUCUUCUGCCCGUAUUACCUCCUCCGCCUCCUUUUCCUCGGGUUCUUCCGUACACUCUUCUAAGGCUACCACCAACCUUGUAUCUACAUUGGUGAACCGGAAAGUACGGUUUCCAACAUUUAAGACAAGCAUUGGUGGGUCGUUUUUUGGUCAUUUGUGUGGGUAGAAGAGUUACAGUUGCAUGGACAACCUGGUUAUUCUUUUUUUAUGGGUAGUGUUAGUGAUGGUUUUUUCCACAGUGGGACAUGGGGAAGAGAAUAGUGUCUUGUUUUGGUGUGGAAGAAGGUUUGGGUGGAGAGAUAUAGGUGCUGACUGGUUUGGAUUUCUGAGCUAGAGGUAAUCUUUAGGCGGCUCUUUUGGAGUCCAAACAUGGCUCGGACAUAUUGUUCUUGGAGGAGGGCCUGUUCAAAGGCUAGAUUGAGGUUUUAAUUAAUCAUGGGGCGAAGUUCUUCGUUUAACCCGCUAUUGAGGCUUGAAAUGCACUUUAGAAUGGGGUUGUCUCUUAACAUUUGGGACCUUAAAAAUUUUCCAAAUGCUCUUUAUACUCCACCACCGAGACUUCUUGAGUGAGUUUAUUAAACUCCUCGACCAGGUCAGUAGGUUCCCCAAAACUUUGGUAUAGUUCUUCCACAAAAUCGUCUCAACAUUAGAGCUCAUUGUGAGUAAGCCAACCUUGAACAGAGCGGCCAAUGUUCCUUUACAACACCAUGCACCUGAAAAAACUUUGGGCAGCAUCUAGCCCAACCUUCUAGAUUGUCCCCCUUCGAAAAUGGGAACUUCUACCCUUGAAAAUAGAAUUUAAAUUAUCCCUCAGGGGAUCAGAGACCAUUACUACAACUUCCUACCUCCCUUUGUCUCGACGGAAAGAUUUCCAGUAGUGUGCGGUUGGUGGCAGUAGGAGAAGUUACCCAGGCUUCUGGCAUUGUUUGUUUGGCCAAUCUGUCCACCAGCUCUGACAAGCUCUCAGUUCUUGCUUCAAGUUCCGCUUGGCUCUGGAGCUGUUUUUCUUUCAGUUGUUGCCACAUGCCGAAACUAGAGUUGAGCCUGGGUUUUGUCACUCUGACUCAUGGAUGUCAUCAGUGAUUCAUUGCGUAGUUUCACAACCCUCUGUCAUAAACUCCUUAAACUUUUGGUCGUAGCCUCUCGUGGAGUCUUCCAUGUGCUGAAGGUAUUUGUUAUCAUUCUUUGUGGCCUUACCACGAGCCACAACUGCCUGGGAGAUAAGGGUAUCCUCAGAAUUGGAGAGCUCUGAUACUAAGUUGUAAAGAGCCUUGGACUUAGACAUAGACAAUAGAGAGAAUUUUGAGAGAGAGAGAGAGAGAGAGAGAGUACAUAAUCCAAAGAGGAGGACAUAAUCCAAAGAGGAGGCAGAUAAAUCAAGGAGAUUUUAUAAAAGAUUUGAGUAGGGUAUAGAAGAGUAGAAGAAACUAAGAGAAAUAGAAUUUCCAGAAUAAUCCUUUCUGGAUAAUGAAGGAUUUCGUUCAAAAAUCAUGCAUAAAUUUCCAUUCUAUUUCUUGACAGUACUGUCCUAUUUCUACUACCAAUUUGCAGAAAACAGUACACAGUAUAGAAUAUUUCUGAAAUUAAGGACAUAACUGUAAGGGGAAAGUGGAUAUGUAACUAAUCUCGUAUUUAGGCUAAUGACUACUACUAUGGCAUAUCUUCAAGGGGUUUUCCAUUGGGAGGUGGUCGCCUCCGGUAAACCUUCAUUGGUUUCACUAGUGGGGGGUUCUGCAUCUGCAACCUUGUAGGGAAGGUUGGUCCUAACAAUAAGUUGGAAGAUUGUUUCGGGCCAAAGGGUGAGUUUUUGGUCAGACAAAUGGCAUGGAAAUGGAAUUCUUGAACAAAGUCUUCCACCAAUUUUCUCCGUAGCAAGGAACAAAGAAGCAACAGUUGAAUAGUCUUGUUCAUAUGACAGGGCUAACGGAUCUUGGAUGGUCGAAUUGGUUAGAAACAUAAACGAUGGGGAAUAAUGAAUUUUUGGGCACGCAGAAAGACCAAAUGAAGCAUCGGAUGAGCCAUUUAGAAACCUAGUUCAAAAGCGGUUCUUUUAGUAAAAUCCUAUUAUCUCUAUUCCACAAAGGCCGAAAGAGUUGAGGUGAACUUUCCAUGGAAACUGAUUUGGGAAAUCAAAGCUUCACCUAGAGUAGAGUAGCCUUUUCUUGCAUGGGAGUGAAGUUAUAUCUAAACUCUGGAGCAUCUCAAAGAAAAAAAAAAGAAAAGAAAAAGUUUUGGUUAACAGAUGUUAUUUGUGUUAAGAAAGAUGCGAAGACAGGAAACUAUCCUCUAUGGUGUCCUUCGGCUUAUGGGCUUUGAUGAACUGUGCUAUUUGGCCACUUGUAGACCUUGGAUGUUAGCAACUCCACAAGUGGCGAAAUAACAUCUUAUGCCAAGGUGUAAUAGAAGAAGGAAGAAGAAUUCUGAAAUGAAUAAUUAAUUAUAUAUGCAUUAAAAGUAUUCUAGUUGUAGGAAUAUUAUGUAAGAAUUAUGUAGUUUUAUGCAUGGAGUAGAAGCAUUUAGUAGUCAGGGAACAGGGGGAUUAGACAAGAAGAUCGUUAAUAAUUUCUGGAAAUAACUACCAGAGUAACUAGUCUCUCAUUGUAAUAAAACAGACUAGUGUCUUUUCUGACAGAUUACAAAUAAAGAAUUAAUUUACAA